UUUGAUGUUCUCUUUUUGACUUGGGGACAAUCAUUCUUGUAGUGUCCCGGCUUUUUGCAUUCAUAGCAAAUAACUUGGUCCUUCUUGGGUUCAAGUUUAUUUUUUGCGUCAUUCUUAAACUUGUUUCUUUUAAAGAAUUUUUUAAAUUUUCUUGUUAGAAGUGCCAAGUCAUCAUCACAGUCCUCAUCACUUGAGUUUUCUCUCAAGUGGCAUUCUGAAGUUUUAAGUGUCAUAUCCUUCCUGUUCUUUGGAAGGAUGUCUUCUUGCUCUUCAUGAGCUUUACAAGUCAUUUCGUAGGUCAUUAAUGACCCGAUUAGUUCUUCAAGAGGGAAGUUGCGUAGAUCUUUUGCCUCUUGAAUAGCAGUGACUUUAGGAUCCCAACUCUUAGGAAGGG
rnacentral:lncRNA from 1 species